AGAUUUCAAGUAUGUUAGCAGCAGUAAUUAGGGAUGUUUUCCUCUAAGGAAAAUUAAAGUUAUAAAAUUAUUAUUUGUUAAAAAUGAUUCCUGCUACUUCAAAUUUAUCCUUAAAUGUAGAGGAUUAACAAUGAACAACUUGAAGUAACUUGGUUGUCACCUCAGAAGUUUAGUUUAUCACCGAUUUAAUGAAGAUGGGCAAGAAGAGGAAGGCUUUAUGAUAAUGAUGGUCUGUGAAUUUCUGCACAACACCAUGUGGUUUUAAUUACUAAAUGUGAUGCCACUUCAAAUGAACAACAAGAGCUUUUCUGUCAGAAGUUGCAGCAGUGUUGUAUACUGUUUGAUUUCAUGGACUCUGUUUCAGACUUGAAGAGCAAAGAAAUUAAAAGAGCAACACUGAAUGAACUGGUUGAGUAUGUUUCAACUAAUCGUGGUGUAAUUGUUGAAUCAGCGUAUUCUGAUAUAGUAAAAAUGAUCAGUGCUAACAUCUUCCGUACACUUCCUCCAAGUGAUAAUCCAGAUUUUGAUCCAGAAGAGGAUGAACCCACGCUUGAGGCCUCUUGGCCUCACAUACAGCCCCUGACAACUACCAAUCUGCUUUCUGUCUCUGGAUUUGCCUAUUCUGGAUACUUCAUAUAAGUGAAAUUAUUUGGUAUAUGAAUUCUUCUUGAGAUUUUUGGAGAGCCCUGAUUUCCAGCCUAGCAUUGCAAAGCGAUACAUUGAUCAGAAAUUCGUACAACAG
rnacentral:sRNA from 1 species